AGCAAGGAGAAGUUGGUGAAGCUGGGGCAAAGUGAGGAUAUGUGUGCGUGCAGUUUAUGUCCAUGCUGCAGAUAUAAAGGAUGAAGUUGUAGGGCAGGAAGUCUUAUGUAACUUGGAGCAGCUACUCAAUGGAAAUCACAAACAGAAUGAGUUUCAUCCACAUGUCAAGACACUACUACCAACAGAGCUAUUUCAGGACACCUACCUAAAUAACUAGCUGUCUCUUCCACUUAAAGCAAGGAGAGUCUUCUCUUAUCUUCAAGAAGAAUAAAAAGUGAAGCUGACAUUACUUGGAAAGAGAAUAAACAAAAUCUGUCAUGAGGACUGCAGGGAUGAAUGACACAAACCAGCCAUUUCUUUGAGAGUCAGGAAAUAUCUAGUUUAUACAAUAAGCUGAUCUACCAAUAAAAUACAAUUGGUGUUGAAAUAUAUGGCUGAGGAAAGUCCUCAUGUUUCAAGGUUCAAAGUUAUUCCAAAGAAGUCCUCGCUCUACAAAUGUAACAUUGAGAUGACGUAUUAUAUGCUUAUCAGAAUAAACUAAAGGAACAUCAAUUCAAAGAUAUUUUCACUCCAGA
rnacentral:lncRNA from 10 species